CCUACGGGCGGCAGCAGUGAGGAAUAUUGGUCAAUGGACGAGAGUCUGAACCAGCCAAGUAGCGUGAAGGAUGACUGCCCUAUGGGUUGUAAACUUCUUUUAUAUGGUAAUAAAAUGUUCCACGUGUGGGAUUUUGUAUGUACCAUAUGUAUAAGGAUCGGCUAACGCCGUGCCAGCAGCCGCGGUACUACGGAGGAUCCGAGUGUUAACCGGAUUUAUUGGGUUUAAAGGAAGCGUAGGUGGAUUGUUAAGUCAGUUGUGAAAGUUGGGGGCUCAACCGUACAAUGGCAGUUGAAACUGGCAGUCUUGAGUACAGGAGAGGUGGGCGGAAUUCGUGGUGUAGCGGUGAAAUGCUUAGAUAUCACGAAGAACUCCGAGUGCGAAGGCAGCUCACUGGACUGCAACUGACACUGAGGCUCGAAAGUGUGGGUAGCAAACAGGAUUAGAUACCCCUGUAGUC
rnacentral:rRNA from 1 species